rnacentral:rRNA from 1 species
GACGAACCGUGCGAACGUUAUUCGGAAUCACUGGGCUUAAAGGGCGCGUAGGCGGGCCUGAAAGUCAGGGGUGAAAGCCCCCAGCUUAACUGGGGAAGUGCCUCUGAUACUUCAGGCCUCGAGGGAGGUAGGGGCGUGCGGAACUUCCGGUGGAGCGGUGAAAUGCGUAGAUAUCUGGAGGAACACCGGUGGCGAAGGCGGCGUCCUGGACCAACACUGACACUGAUGAGCGAAAGCCAGGGGAGCAAACGGG